rnacentral:ncRNA from 1 species
AGGGCGUAUCCCGAAAAGCCCUUAUAAAACGAGUAGGGA